GAUGAACGCUAGCUACAGGCUUAACACAUGCAAGUCGAGGGGUAGCAGGGUAGCAAUACCGCUGACGACCGGCGCACGGGUGAGUAACACGUAUCCAACCUUCCCAUAACUCGGGGAUAGCCUUUCGAAAGAAAGAUUAAUACCCGAUAGUACUUUAUUAAGGCAUCUUAAGAAAGUUAAAGAUUUAUUGGUUAUGGAUGGGGAUGCGUUCCAUUAGAUAGUUGGUGAAGUAACGGCUCACCAAGUCUUCGAUGGAUAGGGGUUCUGAGAGGAAGGUCCCCCACAUUGGUACUGAGACACGGACCAAACUCCUACGGGAGGCAGCAGUGAGGAAUAUUGGUCAAUGGGCGAGAGCCUGAACCAGCCAAGUAGCGUGAAGGAUGAAGGUCCUAUGGAUUGUAAACUUCUUUUAUAGUAGAAUAAAGUGAACCACGUGUGGUUUUUUGUAUGUAUACUAUGAAUAAGGAUCGGCUAACUCCGUGCCAGCAGCCGCUGUAACAC
rnacentral:rRNA from 1 species